UUGCGUUACAUUGGGCUAUUCCAUUUAAUAUCCGUACCCCCCCUGUCGAGGAUCCCUGGAAUUCUUCAGGGGUAAAGGGUUUUGAGCUUGGAAUUCUUCAGGGGUAAAGUGUUUUGAGCUUGGAAUUCUUCAGGGGUAAAGUGUUUUGAGUUUGGAAUUCUUCAGGGGUAAAUGGUUUUGAGCUUGGAAUUCUUCAGGGGUGAAGGGUUUUGAGCUUGGAAUUCUUCAGGGGUAAAAGGUUUUGAGCUUGAAAUUCUUCAGGGGUAAAGGGUUUUGAGCUUGGAAUUCUUUAGGGGUGAAGGGUUUUGAGCUUGGAAUUCUUCAGGGGUAAAAGGGUUUGAGCUUGGAAUUCUUCAGGGGUAAAGGGUUUUGAGCUUGGAAUUUUGGAAUUCUUCAGGGGUAAAAGGUUUUGAGCUUGGAAUUCUUCAGGGGUAAAGAGUUUUGAGCUUGGAAUUUUGGAAUUCUUCAGGGGUAAACAGUUUUGAGCUUGGGAUUCUUCAGGGGUAUGACAAUAAAAAAUAUGUAUCCUCGACAGGGGGGGUACCGAUAUUAAAUGGAAUAGCCCAUU
rnacentral:lncRNA from 1 species